AUCUCUUAAUCCAUGUAUGCUCUCCUGGUUCAUCUUAAUACUUGUUCUAUGACCGUAAACAAAGAAUCAUACAGCUUGCUGAUACAAGCUGCUAGCUAGCCCCUACACAUCAAUGCUUCUCACCACUAUCCGAUGUGGACAUGUCAUCCAAUCCAUGAACGACACGAUUUGAGUGGAUUGUGCGCUGGGACACCCUAUAAUUACACCUGCAGUAGAGUAUUGGAGUCAUGUGAGGAGAAGAGGUUACUGUCGAUGGAAGAAACUUGCAUUCCAUAUCAUCAUAUCCUUCAUGUGAGAGAGAAUCAAUGCACAAUGUAAAAGCUCUAAGAUUUCAGUGACUGGAACCUACAGCCACAUGACUCUUUA
rnacentral:misc_RNA from 1 species